AACUAAAGUAUAAAUUCAGGAGAAAGAUAUAAAAAGUUAAAUUUAACAAAGACGAAAUAAAAAACAUAACAAAUUAAAACAACCCUAACAAUAAAAAGAGAGGAAAAUAAACAAUACUACAAAAAUAAAAACACUCAGAAAAACAAAUUCAACAAAGACGAAAUAAAACAGACAACAAGUUAAAAUAACCCCAAUAGCAAAAAAGAGGAAAAUAAAUAAUACUACAAAAAUAAAAACACACAGAAAAGCUAACAUCAGUCAUAGUUAG
rnacentral:lncRNA from 1 species